CAAGAUACCUUAAAAGCAACAAUAACUUAGUUUAUUUUUUAUUAAUAUACAAAAAGUUUGAUUGAGAAACAAUGAUAAAAAUUCUGACUAUAAAAUUCUAGUUGGCUGUUCUCAGGCAGCUCCUGUUCAUGCAUACUGUUAUGUUGUUGUUUGUUUUAACCUUGACUCUAAAGCUAUUUGUUUGUUUUAACCUUGACUCUAAAGCUAUUUGUUACUUACCUUUAAUGAAAAUACUAUCAUAUUGUGAUUCGAUUUUUGAGGUAUUAGGGCCAUAUUUUUAGUUCAAAAUAACAGAACAAUUAUUAAAGCUUUCAUUUUCAGCUCGCCUGAGCACAACGUGCUCAUGGUGAGCUUUUGUGAUCGCCUUUUGUCCGUCGUCCAUCCGUCCUCAACAUUUUGCCUUGUGAACACUCUAGAGGCCACAUUUAUUGUCUGAUUGUCAUGAAACUUGGUCAGAACAUUUGUCCAAAUGAUAGAUCGACCGAGUUCGAAACUGGGUCAUGCUGGGUCAAAAACUGGGUCACUAGGUCAAAAAAAAGAAAAACCUUGUGAACACUGUAGAAGUUACAUUUGAUGCCCAAUCUUCAUGUAACUUUGUUAAAAUGUUUGUCUUAAUGAUAUGUUGGUUGAGUUCAAAAAUGGUUACGGUCCAUUGAAAAACAUGGCCACCAGGGGGCGGGGCAGUAUUCCUUAUAUGGCUAUAGAGAAACCUUGUGAACACUCUAGAAGUCACAAUGUUUGCCCAAUCAUCAUGAAAGUUGGUCAAAACAUUGGUUUCAUUGAUAUCUCGGACGAGUUCGAAAAUAGUUCAGAUCGGUGAAAAAACAUGGCCUCCAGGGGGCGGUGCAGUUUUCUCUAUAUGUAUAUAGUGAAAACAUGUGAACUCUUUAGAAGUCACAUUUUUGGUCAAUUCUUCCUGAAAUUUGGUUAUAACAUUUGUUUCCUGGAAAAGUCGGUUGAGUUCGAAAAUGGUUUGGUUCAGUAAAAAAACAUUGCCGCCAGAGGGGGGUGGGGGGUCUUUUUCCUUAUAUUUAUAUAGUAAAAAAACUUGUGAACACUCUAGAAGUCACAUUUUUUGCCUAAUUAUCAUGAAAUUUUGUCUUAAUAUCGAUUUUAUAAAUAUCUCGGACGAGUUUGAAAACGGUCAUGAUCAGUGAAAAAACAUGGGUGCCAGGGCGCGGGGCAGUUUUCGCAAUAUGUAUAUAGUGAAAACAUGUAAACAGUCUAGAAGACAUAUUUUUUGCCCAAUCUUCAUGAAAUUUGGUCAGAACAUUUGUUUCCUGGAUACGACAGUUGAGUUCAAAAAUAGUUCGGAUCGGAAAUAAAACAUUGCCACCAGGGGGGCGGGGGCCUUUUUCCUUAUAUUUAUAUAGUAAAGAAGCUUGUGAACACUCUAGAAGUCACAUUUUUUUCCUAAUCAUCAUGAAAUGUGGUCAUAUCGGACGAGUUUGAAAAUGGUUGUGAUCAUUUGAAAAACAUGGCCGCCAGUGGAUGGGGCAGUUUUCUCUAUAUGUAUGUAAGAAGCAUUUUCCUUUAUAUAUUAUAUAUAUAUUUUUUUUAUGUGGGUAAUAAAAACAUGGCCGCCAGGGUGGGUGGGGUAAUUUUCUAUAUAGGCCUAUUGUGAAUACUUUGGAACACCUUAUUUUUUAAGUCUGUCUUCUCAUACCAAUAAUUUGAAAUAUUUGCUGAAGAGUUUUAAUCUUUGUUUCUUUCCAUCUUAGUCUCUCAGGUGAGCGACCCAGGGUCCUUUGGGGCCUCUUGUUUUACUUGUCAUCUUGCAAUUUUUUAAGACCUCUACAUGUUGUCUAAAUAAAUAACAUUUUGAAAGUAAAAAACUACCUUAGUAAUUUCUAGUCUGUUAAAAACAAGACUGCCAGAUGGCAUGACAGUUUUCCUAAAAUGGCUUUUAUGAAACCCCGUGAGCAAUAUAGAAGUUACAUUAUUAGGUCCAAUAAGAAAACUUGCUCAUAUCAUGAAAAAUCAGGCUCCUUGGCAGUGGGGGAGUUUUUAGCUCACCUGUCACGAAGUGACAUGGUGAGCUUAUGUGACCGUGUGAUGUCCGGCGUCCGUUGUGUGUGCGUGCUUGUGUGCGUGCGUCUGUCAACAAUUUGUUUGUGUAGACAGAAGAGGUCAAAGUUUUCAUCCAAUCUUGAAUGACAUUUGAUCAAAAUGUUUAUCUUGAUGAAAUCUGGUUUGGGAUUGUAUGUGGGUCAUCUGGGGUCAAAAACUAGGUCACUAGGUCAAAAACUAGGUCACAUAAUAGGUCAAAUAAUAGAAAAACCUUGUGUAGACAAUAGAGGUCGCAGUUUUCAUCUGAUCUUUAUGAAAUUUGGUAAGAAUGUUUAUCUUGAUAAAAUCUGGGUUGGGAUUGUUUUUGGGUAAUCUGGGGUCAAAAACUAGGUCACUAGGUCAAAUAAUUAAAUUAAAAAAUCAUCAACAAUUUGUUUGUGUGGACAGUAGAGGUCACAGUUCUCAUCCAAUGUUUAUGAAAUUUGGUCAGAAUGUUUAUCUUGAUGAAAUCUGGCUUGGGAAUGUAUUUGGGUCAUCUGGGGUCAAAAACUAGGUCACUAGGUAAAAAACUAGGUCAAAUAAUAGAAAAACCUUGUGUAGACAAUAGAGGUCGCAGUUUUUCAUCCAAUCUUUAUGAAAUUUGGUCAGAAUGUUUAUCUUGAUGAAAUCUGGGUUGGGAUUGUAUUUGGGUCAUCUGAGGUAAAAAACUAGGUCACUAGGUCAAAUGAUAGAAAAACCGUCAACUAUUUGUUUGUGUAGACAGAAGAGGUCACAGUUUUCAUCCAAACUUUAUGAAAUUUGGUCAGAAUGUUUAUCUUGAUGAACUCUGGGUUGGGAUUGUAUUUGGGUUAUCUGGGGUCAAAAACUAGGUUACUAGGUAAAAAACUAGGUCACAGUUUUCAUCCAAUCUUUAUGAAAUUUGGUCAGAAUGUUUAUCUUGAUAAAAUCUGGGUUGUGAUUGUAUUUGGGUCAUCUGAGGUAAAAAACUGGGUCACUAGGUCAAAUAAUAAAAAAAUCUUGUGUAGACAAUAGAGGUCACAUUUUUCAUCAAAUCUUAAUGCAAUUUGGUUAGAAUGUUUAUCUUGAUGAAAUCUGGGUUGGGAUUGUAUUUGGGUUAUCUGGGGUCAAAAACUAGGUUACUAGGUAAAAAACUAGGUCACAUAAUAGAAAAACCUUGUGUAGACAAUAGAGGUCACAGUUUUCAUCCAAUCUUUAUGAAAUUUGGUCAGAAUGUUUAUCUUGAUGAAAUCUGGGUUGUGAUUGUAUUUGGGUCAUCUUGGGUCAAUAACUAGGUCACUAGGUCAAAUAAUAGAAAAACCUCGUGUAGACAAUAGAGGUCACAGUUUUCAUCCAAUCUUCAUGAAAUUUGCUCAGAAUGUUUGUCUUGAUGAAAUCUGGGUUGGGAUUGUAUUUGGGUCACGUGGGUCAAAAACUAGGACAAUAGGUCAAAUAUUAGAAAAACCUUGUUUAGACAAUAGAGGUCACAGUUUUCAUACAAUCUUUAUGAAAAUUGGUCAGAAUGUUUAUCUUGAUGAAAACUGGGUUGGGAUUGUAUUUGGGUCAUCUGAGGUCAAAAACUAGGUCACUAGGUCAAAUGAUAGAAAAACCGUCAACUAUUUGUUUGUGUAGACAGAAGAGGUCACAGUUUUCAUCCAAUCUUUAUGAAAUUUGGUCAGAAUGUUUAUCUUGAUAAAAUCUGGGUUGUGAUUGUAUUUGGGUCAUCUGAGGUAAAAAACUGGGUCACUAGGUCAAAUAAUAAAAAAAUCUUGUGUAGACAAUAGAGGUCACAUUUUUCAUCAAAUCUUAAUGCAAUUUGGUUAGAAUGUUUAUCUUGAUGAAAUCUGGGUUGGGAUUGUAUUUGGGUUAUCUGGGGUCAAAAACUAGGUUACUAGGUAAAAAACUAGGUCACAGUUUUCAUCCAAUCUUUAUGAAAUUUGGUCAGAAUGUUUAUCUUGAUAAAAUCUGGGUUGUGAUUGUAUUUGGGUCAUCUGAGGUAAAAAACUGGGUCACUAGGUCAAAUAAUAAAAAAAUCUUGUGUAGACAAUAGAGGUCACAUUUUUCAUCAAAUCUUAAUGAAAUUUGGUUAGAAUGUUUAUCUUGAUGAAAUCUGGGUUGGGAUUGUAUUUGGGUCAUCUGGGGUCAAAAACUAGGUCACUAGGUCAAAUAAAAGAAAAACCUUGUGUAGACAAUAGAGGUCACAGUUUCCAUCCAAUCUUCAUGAAAUUUGGUCAGAAUGUUUAUCUUGAUGAAAUCUGGGUUGGGAUUGUAUUUGGGUCAUCUGAUGUCAAAAACUAGGUCACAAGGUCAAAUAAUAGAAAAACCUUGUGUAGACAAUAGAGGUCACAGUUUUCAUCCAAUCUUUAUGAAAUUUGGUCAGAAUGUUUAUCUUGAUGAAAUCUGGGUUGGGAUUGUAUUUGGGUCAUCUGGGGUAAAAAAACUAGGUCAAAUAAUAGAAAAAACUUGUGUAGACAAUAGAGGUCACAGUUUUCAUCCAACCUUUAUGAAAUUUGGUCAGAAUGUUUAUCUUGAUAAAAUCUGGAUUGGGAUUGUAUUUGGGUCAUUUGGGGUCAGAAACUAGGUCACUAGGUCAAAUCAUAGAAAAACCUUGUGUAGACAAUAGAGGUCACAGUUUUCAUCAGAUCUUAAUGAAAUAUGGUGAGAACGUUUGUCUUGUUAAAAUCUGGGUUGGGAUCGAAUUUGGGUCAUCUAGGGUCAAAAACUAGAUCUCUAGGUCAAAGUUUAAAAAAAACUUGUGUAGACAGUAGAGGUCACAGUUUUCAUCCAAACUUAAUAAAAUAUGGCCAGAAUGUUAAUCUUGAUGAAAUCUGGGUUGGGAUUGAAUUUGGGCCAUCUGUGGUCAAAAACUAGGUCAAAUCAUAGAAAAACCUUGUGUAGACAAUGAAGCCAUAGUUUUCAUUAGGUCUUAAUGAAAUGUGGUCAAAAUAUUUAUCUUGUUAAUAUCUGAUUUUUGGAUCGUAUAUGGGUCAUCUGGGGUCAAAAAUUAGGUCACCGGGCCAAUUCUAGUAAAACCACAUCUUAAUGAAAUUUUGUCAGAAUGUAUUAACUGAUGAAAUAUGGCUUGGGAUUGUAUAUGGGUCUGAUAGAAUUUAAGGUGAUGUAGCAAGGUGAGUCAGAUGAGCGAUUCAGGGCCAUCAUGGCCCUCUUGUUUCUAUUCUUGUGGAGUUAGAAAAUGAUAAGGAUUCAUUGAAAACACUGCUGUCUGUGUUUGGGCUAUAGUAAAAUAGUGUGAAGUUCUUGUUCAGAAAAAUUUAGUAUGUCUGGUCUCUUGUUGAGCGUUCUAUAUUCUGAGCUCUUUCGCCCUUAAGUAUACUCUCAUUAGGGAAAAUUAUUAGCAAGAUGUGCCUUUAUAGUACAUCACUAUUGUUUUUUGUCUAUUCAUAUAAACAUGUGCAAUCAAACCUUUUACAUGCUUAAAUCCAAAGAUAAUCAUUUAUAUUUAUUAAUUGGCUGAAAUCGAAUAAAUAGCAUACUAGUAAUUUAUGUCCUGUUUCGUUAACUGGCUGUAAUACAUUUGGUAAUUUAUUGUCAGUAUAUUGCUGUAGUGUAAGCUUGUGAUUGUUAGUUACGGUGUCAAUAAACUUAUAUGUGUUAAUUUGACAAAAAAACAUUUUUCAUUUAAUUGUAAAUAUUCAAAGGUGAACAUAUUUGUUAUGCCCCCAAAGGAGGGCAUAUAGUGAUAGGACCGUCCGUCUGUCCAUCUGUCUGUCUUUCCGUCACACUUUGCAUUUAGGUUUCGCAUUUAGGUUUCGAAAAAUGCUCAUAACUUCUAUGUCGCUUCAGAUAGCAACUUGAUGUUUGGCAUGCAUGUGUAUCUCAUGGAGCUACACAUUUUGAGUGAUGAAAGUUCAAGGUCAAGGUCGUCCUUCAAGGUCAAAGGUCAAAUAUAUGGCUUCAAAGCGGCGCAGAAGGGGGCAUUGUGUUUCUGACAAACACAUCUCUUGUUUAUUUAUUUUUUUUAUUUAUUUAUUUGUUCAUUUAUAUUUUGCAAUAUUAAAAAUAAUAAAAAUGUCAUCUUUAACAUCACACCUUUUCUCUUACAUAUAUUUACUGUUUUAUAUGAUAGCAUGUUUAAUUAUAUUUUCUGACAAGUAUAUAUUUUAUCGUUGGUGUAUGCUUUUGAAGCACAAUGUCUCUUUAAUGACCAAUGGCCAAUGGCCUGGUCACAAUUCAACAUCGAGGUCAAUUUUAGGAAAAUUGUACCUGACACAUUGUAAGAAGCAUAACUUUGUUCAGCAUGUAUGGAUUUUUAAAGAACUUUGCUUAAGUGAUCAGUUUGAUGAGAUGGAGUAUUGAAUGCAAGAACCAGUCAAUUUACACGUCAAAGAACCAGUCAAUUUACAUGUCAAAGCCAAGUGUCUUCUUGAGGUAUUUUCACUGUAAGCCAUUUGCAUGAUGUGAUGUAGUGUUGCAAAUAAAAAGCAGCUUAAGGUAACGUUUUGGACAAAUUUUGGAUUUUGAAAAUAUUUUUGCAGUAGUUCUUAACUCUUUCAGUGCCCAGGAACCGAAUUUUGAAGGCCUUUGCAAACAGUUUGGAUCCAGAUGAGACACCACAUGUGUCUCAUCAGGAUCCAAACUGUUUGCUAUUCUGA